rnacentral:rRNA from 1 species
CCUACGGGUGGCAGCAGUGGGGAAUAUUGGACAAUGGGCGAAAGCCUGAUCCAGCCAUGCCGCGUGUGUGAAGAAGGCCUUCGGGUUGUAAAGCACUUUCAGUGGGGAAGAAAGCCUGGGGGCUAAUACCCUCGAGGAAGGACAUCACCCACAGAAGAAGCACCGGCUAACUCCGUGCCAGCAGCCGCGGUAAUACGGAGGGUGCGAGCGUUAAUCGGAAUUACUGGGCGUAAAGCGCGCGUAGGCGGUCUGAUAAGCCGGUUGUGAAAGCCCCGGGCUCAACCUGGGAACGGCAUCCGGAACUGUCCGGAUAGAGUGCAGGAGAGGAAGGUAGAAUUCCCGGUGGAGCGGUGAAAUGCGUAGAGAUCGGGAGGAAUACCAGUGGCGAAGGCGGCCUUCUGGACUGACACUGACGCUGAGGUGCGAAAGCGUGGGUAACCAACAGGAUUAGAUACCCCAGUAGUC